CAGCUCGACUAUCUAGCUUGCACAUGAUGAGACAUGGUGUGCAAGUUAACUCUCCAACAAAAAUGAUCUAAAAAAUCCUUUGCUAAAUUGCACAUUUUGAUGCAUAGUGUGUAACUUGUCAACUCCCCUGACAAAAAAAGAAAACCCUACUAACUUUCACAUCCAAACAAAUACAAGUCCUUUGUGAAAAACUAAAAAAUUGCAUGACAAUGAGUUUACGUGUACAGCUCGACUCUCUAACUUGCACAUGAUGAGGCAUGGUGUGAAUCAACUCUCCGACAAAAAGACCUAAAAAAUUCUUUUGCUAAAUUGCACAUUUUGGGGUGCGGUGUGAAACUCGUCAACUCUCAAACAAAGAAAAUCCUACUAACUUGCACAACAAAAAACAUGAUGUGCAAGUCCUUAGCGGAAACUCAAAAAUUGUGCGUCAACAGUUUACACUCAGCUCGGCUCUCUAACUUGCACAUUUUUGGGUGCGGUGUGCAACUCAUCAACUCUCUGACAAAGAAAACCUUACUAACUUGCACAACCAGAAAUAUGAUGUGCAAGUCCUCACGAAAGCUCUAAAUUUGUUUGUUAUGAGUUUGCGUGUGCAGCUCGACUCUCUAACUUGCACAUGACGAGGCAUGGUGUGUAAGUCAACUCUCCAAAAAAAAGACCUAAAAAAAAUCCUUUGCUAAAUGGCACAUUUAGGGCGCGGUGUGCAACUCGUCAACUCUCCAACGGAAAAGAAAACCCUACUAACUCGCACAACCAAAAACAUGAUGUGCAAGUCUUUCGUGAAAACUCAAAAAUCCCACGUUCAUGAGUUUACAUGUGCAACUUGACUCUCUAACUUGCACACGAUGAGACAUGGUGUGCAAGUCAACUCUCCAACAAAAAAAAUUAAAAAAAAAUCCUUUGCUAAAUUUCACAUUUUGAUGCAUGGUGUGCAACUCGUCAACUCCCCCCGACAAAAUCCUACUAACUUGCAUACCCAAGAACAUACAACUCCUUCGUGAGAACUCAAAAAUCCCGCGUCAUGAGUUUACAUGUGCAACUUGACUCUCUAACUUGCACACGAUGACACAUGGUGUGCAGUCAACUCUCCAACAAAAAGACCUAAAAAAAAACCUUUGCUAAAUUGCACAUUUUGAUGCAUGGUGUGCAACUCGUCAACUCUUUGACAAGAAAGCCCUACUAACUUGCACAACCAAAAAAAUGAUGUGCAAGUCCUUAGCGAAAGCCCAAAAAUUGUAUGUCAUGAGUUUACUUGUUCAACUCGGCUCUCUAACUUGCACACGAUGAGACAUGGUGUGCAAGUGAACUCUCUGACAAAAAGACCCUACUAACUUGCACAACGAAAAACAUGAUAUGCAAGUCCUUAGCGAAAGCUCAAAAAUUGCAAGCCAUGAGUUUAUUUGUGCAGCUCGACUCUGUAAAUUGCACAUGAUGAGGCAUGGCGUGCAAGACAACUCCAACAAAAGACCUAAAAUAAAUCCUUUUCUAAGUUGCACAUUUUGGGGCG
rnacentral:lncRNA from 1 species